GAUGAACGCUGGCGGCGUGCUUAACACAUGCAAGUCGAACGAUGAAGCCCAGCUUGCUGGGUGGAUUAGUGGCGAACGGGUGAGUAACACGUGAGUAACCUGCCCUUGACUCUGGGAUAAGCCCGGGAAACUGGGUCUAAUACCGGAUAGGAGCGCCUGUCGCAUGACGGGUGUUGGAAAGAUUUUUCGGUCAUGGAUGGACUCGCGGCCUAUCAGCUUGUUGGUGAGGUAAUGGCUCACCAAGGCGACGACGGGUAGCCGGCCUGAGAGGGUGACCGGCCACACUGGGACUGAGACACGGCCCAGACUCCUACGGGAGGCAGCAGUGGGGAAUAUUGCACAAUGGGCGGAAGCCUGAUGCAGCGACGCCGCGUGAGGGAUGACGGCCUUCGGGUUGUAAACCUCUCAGUAGGGAAGAAGCGAAAGUGACGGUACCUGCAGAAGAAGCACCGGCUAACUACGUG
rnacentral:rRNA from 1 species